rfam:Mustela putorius furo unplaced genomic scaffold scaffold00177, whole genome shotgun sequence.
GCCUGGCUGGCUCAAUCUGUAGAGCAUGUGGCUCUUGACCUCAGGGUUGCGAGUUUGAGCCCCACGUUGGGUG